ACGCUGGCGGCAGGCCUAACACAUGCAAGUCGAGCGGUAACACAGGAGAGCUUGCUCUCUGGAUGACGAGCGGCGGACGGGUGAGUAAUGUCUGGGAAACUGCCUGAUGGAGGGGGAUAACUACUGGAAACGGUAGCUAAUACCGCAUGAUGUCGCAAGACCAAAGUGCGGGACCUUCGGCCUCACGCCAUCGGAUGUGCCCAGAUGGGAUUAGCUAGUAGGUGAGGUAAUGGCUCACCUAGGCGACGAUCCCUAGCUGGUCUGAGAGGAUGACCAGCCACACUGGAACUGAGACACGGUCCAGACUCCUACGGGAGGCAGCAGUGGGGAAUAUUGCACAAUGGGGCGCAAGCCUGAUGCAGCCAUGCCGCGUGUGUGAAGAAGGCCUUCGGGUUGUAAAGCACUUUCAGCGAGGAGGAAGGCGUGGUAGUUAAUAACUGCAGCGAUUGACGUUACUCGCAGAAGAAGCACCGGCUAACUCCGUGCCAGCAGCCGCGGUAAUACGGAGGGUGCAAGCGUUAAUCGGAAUUACUGGGCGUAAAGCGCACGCAGGCGGUUUGUUAAGUCAGAUGUGAAAUCCCCGAGCUUAACUUGGGAACUGCAUUUGAAACUGGCAAGCUAGAGUCUUGUAGAGGGGGGUAGAAUUCCAGGUGUAGCGGUGAAAUGCGUAGAGAUCUGGAGGAAUACCGGUGGCGAAGGCGGCCCCCUGGACAAAGACUGACGCUCAGGUGCGAAAGCGUGGGGAGCAAAC
rnacentral:rRNA from 1 species